GCCGACGUAGCUCAGUUGGUAGAGCAACUGAUUCGUAAUCAGUAGGUCUGCAGUUCGAUUCUGCACGUCGGCA
rnacentral:tRNA from 1 species